rnacentral:rRNA from 1 species
UACGGGGGGGAGCAAGGCGUUGUUCGGAUUUACUGGGCGUAAAGGGCGCGUAGGCGGCGCAACAAGUCACUUGUGAAAUCUCCGGGCUUAACUCGGAACGGUCAAGUGAUACGUGUUGUGCUAGAGUGCGGAAGGGGCAACUGGAAUUCUCGGUGGUAGCGGUGAAAUGCGUAGAUAUCGAGAGGAACACCUGCGGCGAAGGCGGUUC